UAUAGGUUACAUUCUACCAAUUCAAUUCCUUAUUUAUUUCAUAUUAAUAACAAAACAUUCAGACCUCAUUUUCAGCACUUUAGAGCAUUUCAAUGAUAUGAAAACCAUAUAUGGUCAUUUAGUAUAACAUGUCUUCUUAUCAAAAAUAGAAAAAAAUUGACAUGUUAUGUUGAAUAUAAGAAAAACAAGUGAAUGAAGUAUUGCCAUGCAAUACAAAGUCCCCUACUGGAAGGCACCUAAUUUUCUCUACUGCAGUAUAACAUAAUGAACUGAUAUCUGUCAAUGAUGUAUAAACAAUAUUGUACUAUAUAUACAAUAUGUUAUAACAAAACACUUGGAUUAAAAUUUAUAUAUAUAAAAACCUACAGUUGUUUUCAUAUUGAAUUUUUUUGGCUGAUUAUAAAAAUGUUAUCAUGUAAGUUAUUUAUAGUAACAACAAAGGGAAAUUAAUCUUUUAAAAAAAAAAAAAAAAAAAAAAAAAAAAAAAAAAUCUAUAUAAUACAAGUCCACAAGAAACUCUUUACCAGGUAGAGAUAGGUCAAAAUACACCUAAAAAUUGGAUGUAACAUGCAUGGUGUACCACAGAAAAGUGGUCUCGAUUUUUCUCUACUGCCAGUAAUAAAAAAGUUACAAUAAAAUCUAUUUAUAGUAACAACAAAGGGACGUAAUUCUAAAAACAAGGGUGCCUCAUGGUGGUGAACAUUUGGUCCAAGUUACAUCAAAAUCCCUCCAUGCAUGAAGAAGAAAUGUCCCAUACAAAGUCAUUCUUGAAUUUGACCUUUGACCUCUAAAUAUGACCUUGACCUUAGACCUAGGGACCUGGCCCCGUGUUCACAAAACAUUUUUCGAUCUCAGCUGAGUUUGAGUUUGAUAUUUUAAUAUCAGUUUUAUUAAAACUUCAAGGUUAAAUUCAAUCUGAGACAGACCAGCAAUAUUGAAGUGCCACUUGAAAAUAAUGUUGAGCAUAAAAUUAGGUUUUAAACAUACUCUUUUGAUAUAAAUGACGAUUUAAGUUUCAUUAUCAAACUCAGCUGAGACUGAAAACGUUUUGUGAACACGGGGCCAGUACUGGGCAGAUAUAGUGACAUACGUUUAAGAUAUCAUGCUUUCUGUUUAUGCAGGUAAACUUGUGUUUGGUUAAAUUUCAACAGAGCACAAUUGUCUGAACAGUGUACAGACUCAUUACUGUUUUUCAGGCAAGGGUGGAAAAAAAGUGGUAGACAAUGAAAGCAGUAACAUUUUUUAUUAAAAAAAAAAAAUAAUGAGAAACUCUUCCAACAUCUUUGGACGGUUCAAAAAUCCCAUGUUAAACAUACGGUAAAGCCCGAAACGCGUGAAAAUGUUCCGAAUGUAAAUCGGGUGAAGUAGGCGCUCUAUGUAUAGAGUUAGAUUAUGCGUCUAGAUACUGUACUAGAGGGGUCGGUCUACUGUGGGUUAUUGAUUACACUGGGCGAGUCUACUUACUUAUUACUUGAGGAUGAAAAAACCGUGUUUUUUAAAUGUUGCUCUUAAACAAGGGUGGCGGUUGAACUACAAAAAGUACAACAACAGUUAAUUCACAACAUAUCGUACGGUAUGUUUUAUAAUCAGUAGAAGCUAGUCGUAUUUACGCUUAUGAGACCUGUUUCACCCAUAGGUAUAGAAUUCACAGGUCUAUCAUGAAAUAUUUUCCCCAGCGCGCAUAUACUUCACCUAUUCCAUAUGAUCGCGGCCUCCAGCAAUAAGUGUUUCUUCUUGUUACAAAAUGCGACUCGGCCCGUUUUCUUUUAUCCUGCACACUUUUAACUUCCUAUACAUGUCUACUAUUGUAUACAAUGAUAAUGCGUAUAUUAAGACUGUAUUUAUUUAAGAGAGAAAAUAAAUAAAAACGUAUUCAGUUUUGUAAAAA